GCUUAACACAUGCAAGUCGAACGCUGAAGCACUGUGCUUGCACGGUGUGGAUGAGUGGCGAACGGGUGAGUAACACGUGAGUAACCUGCCCCUGACUUCGGGAUAAGCCUGGGAAACUGGGUCUAAUACCGGAUAUGACUACUGGCCGCAUGGUCUGGUGGUGGAAAGGGUUUUACUGGUUGGGGAUGGACUCGCGGCCUAUCAGUUUGUUGGUGGGGUAGUGGCCUACCAAGACGACGACGGGUAGCCGGCCUGAGAGGGCGACCGGCCACACUGGGACUGAGACACGGCCCAGACUCCUACGGGAGGCAGCAGUGGGGAAUAUUGCACAAUGGGGGGAACCCUGAUGCAGCGACGCCGCGUGCGGGAUGACGGCCUUCGGGUUGUAAACCGCUUUCAGUAGGGAAGAAGCGAAAGUGACGGUACCUGCAGAAGAAGUACCGGCUAACUACGUGCCAGCAGCCGCGGUAAUACGUAGGGUACAAGCGUUGUCCGGAAUUAUUGGGCGUAAAGAGCUCGUAGGUGGUUGGUCACGUCUGCUGUGGAAACGCAACGCUUAACGUUGCGCGUGCAGUGGGUACGGGCUGACUAGAGUGCAGUAGGGGAGUCUGGAAUUCCUGGUGUAGCGGUGAAAUGCGCAGAUAUCAGGAGGAACACCGGUGGCGAAGGCGGGACUCUGGGCUGUAACUGACGCUGAGGAGCGAAAGCAUGGGGAGCGAACAGGAUUAGAUACCCU
rnacentral:rRNA from 1 species